rnacentral:rRNA from 1 species
CGACCGCUGGCGGCGUGCUUACCACAUGCAAGUCGAACGGAAAGGCCUCUUUCGGGGGGUACUCGAGUGGCGAACGGGUGAGUAACACGUGAGUAACCUGCCCUUGACUUUGGGAUAACUUCAGGAAACUGGGGCUAAUACCGGAUAGGAGCUCCUGCUGCAUGGUGGGGGUUGGAAAGUUUCGGCGGUUGGGGAUGGACUCGCGGCUUAUCAGCUUGUUGGUGGGGUAGUGGCUUACCAAGGCUUUGACGGGUAGCCGGCCUGAGAGGGUGACCGGCCACAUUGGGACUGAGAUACGGCCCAGACUCCUACGGGAGGCAGCAGUGGGGAAUAUUGCACAAUGGGUGGAAGCCUGAUGCAGCAACGCCGUGUGCGGGAUGACGGCCUUCGGGUUGUAAACCGCUUUCGCUCAUGACGAAGCUUUGUGUGACGGUAGUGGGUAAAGAAGCACCGGCUAACUACGUG